CAGCCCCUCGAGUGGUGGGGAUGAUUAUUUGGCCUAAAGCGUCCGUAGCCGGCCGGGUAAGUUUCCCGUUAAAUCCAGCGUCUCAAGCGUUGGACUGCGGGAGAUACUACACGGCUAGAGAGUGGGAGAGGUCAGCGGUAUUCUGGGGGUAGGGGCGAAAUCCUUUGAUCCCCGGAGGACCACCAGUGGCGAAGGCUGCUGACUAGAACACGUCUGACGGUCAGGGACGAAAGCUGGGGUAGCGAACCGGAUUAGAUACCCGAGUAGUCC
rnacentral:rRNA from 1 species